UACGUAGGGUGCGAGCGUUAAUCGGAAUUACUGGGCGUAAAGGGCUCGUAGGCGGCCAACUAAGUCCGACGUGAAAUCCCAAGGCUUAACCUUGGAACUGCGUCGGAUACUGGAUGGCUUGAAUUCGGGAGAGGGAUGCAGAAUUCCAGGUGUAGCGGUGAAAUGCGUAGAUAUCUGGAGGAAUACCGGUGGCGAAGGCGGCAUCCUGGACCGACAUUGACGCUGAUGAGCGAAAGCUAGGGGAGCAAACGGG
rnacentral:rRNA from 1 species